UGAGCAGGGCCUCACCAUGGAAGGCCUGAAAGGGAAACAUAAACUAUUCCAAUGGAAGCUGCAGAGCAGGCUUGAGCUUUAGAACUGAGAAGAGGAAGAACCACUCUGUGGUCAGCCCCAGCCUGAAGGGAAGUUAUAACAUCCAGCUUCCUUCUGUUCCAGACAGGUACAGAUGGAGGCAGUAGCAUGGUAAAACAUCAAAAUCAAGCAUCCAGCAUCUGAAUCCAAGCAACACAAAGAACAAGAAACUUUGUGUCCUUUGACCAACAUCUUUUUUUUUCCCCGUCUACCCUCUUUCCUGCCACCACUCCAGCUCUUGAAACUUCUCAUGGCACAGAACCUGCCAGCAGAAAGAUGAAGACACCUGUCCCUAUCUGCAUGUAGAGUCAUAAGCAGUGAUUUUCUAACUUGGCAGUGCUCCUUCGAGUUGACAUUUCCAAAACCACCUAGAGGACCAGGAAAUUCAGUCAGGCUGGCAGCACCAGAGGUCUGUGUCUGUGGCAAGAUAGAAACCACAUGACUAGGUCAUAAGAGGAGAUACAACUUUUGACCAGACGCUCACUCGCGAAAUUCGGUCACCAGGCUGUGAAGAAGACAAUGUGGAAAGACCUCGUGUUCCUUUUUUGUCUGACAGCCCCAGUGAAUUCCUGCCAAGAGUCAACAUCAACAUCUAGACCUAUGAGAGGGCAAGUCCUCAGAUGUUUACAGUCCCAGACUUCAUGCCGCCUUCUGUCUUUUAGUCUUCCCUGCUGAAAACUCACACAUUGUGGAACAGAGAAGUGACAUCUGCACUGUGCCUUUUCUCAAGUCGUAAACCACAAAACAUAUGGGCAUAAUAAAAUGAUUUUUGUGUUAUACAGUUAAGUUUGGUUUUGUUUGUUAUACAGUGAUAGCUUACUUUAACAACCUCUACUUCUGUUCUAUUCUCAAAAUAUUAUAAACUGUAUAAGAAAAAAUUUACCUUUUAAAAUUGAACUUUAGGAGUAGACAAUAAACUGACUAUGACCCAUUUUUAAAUGUAAAAUAUCCCUUUUCAACUUUUUUUGAAUUUUCUUAUUUGAAUUAUCCAGUUACCUUUAGAAGAAUUGUCUAGGUUUCCUUAAAUAAUAGAACCAUGGAGACAAUAAGAUAUGCAUAAUAUGUAGUGAAAGAGUUAAUGUAUAGCCAAGAUCACCGCUAGAAAUAAAAUGUCUGUGUACUGAUGUGUUCCCAGUAUGCAGAUCUAGGAAAAGCAAUUGGUUAAUUCAAUAUCAAGAAAUUGUGUCUAUAUAUGCUUUGAAGCAUAAUCAUUGUUAAUUUAAUAGUGACCUGGUUUUGAUUGCGUGAGGGAUUAAACUGUGUCUUAUUCACAACUGUAUGCUUGGUAAUUAACACAAUAAAUAUUUAUCAAAUAAAUGAGGAAAAUGCUGCCUGAAGCAACUCCAAACAACUUAUCCCUCUCCCCAAGACUGUUGCUUCUUCAGGGAAGUGUAACAUGGAUAAAAUUCAAGUAUAACUAUAAAAAUUAAAAUGCUUAAUCAUUUUGAAUAUAAGUGAUUCUAAAGAAAGCAAGAUAUCAUUUUAAAAAGUGAAGUUUGCUUAUCUAUAGAUGUAUAAACAAGGCCUUAAUUGUUUAGCUAUUACUAGAUUCAUUAUACUUUUAUACUAUUUUGCCUAGUCUUUUUCCCUGUCUCUAUAUAAUUGUAUAUAGGCAUAUGUAUCACUUCAAAACCCACAGGUCCUCAAGAAAAUAAUUACAGCUUAAUCCUUAUAAUGCCAGCAUUUAAACAGAGCAUUGGUAUUUUUUAUUUUUUAAAAUAUGAAUUUGAUAGUAACUCUUUAUACAUCAAUUUAUAAGUAUAAACACCCACUUUUAGAAUAUAUUGAAAUUAAAACAUUGUAUAUUGUUAUUUCAGUUUCUUAUUAUCUGAUGUUUUCAACUCUUAAUUCUUAGUAUGCAAAUAUAUUGGACUUUUUCUUUAUGUUGAAGAAUAUUUUUGAAUAUGAUGGGAAAUAUGAAAACACAAGAUGUUACAUUACAGAAAUACUCUAUUUAAAGCAUCUUUGUGGAUUGUAAACAUCAUACUCCUUUUAUGUUUUUGUGUUAAAAAUUCUGUUCAUAGUGACUGUACAAGGCUAUUUUAAUAACCACUUUUUCUUUUCUCUACUGUAAGUCUUUGAGAUGCCUAGUAUCUACUAUCAAAUGAUUUUUGAAAAAGGAUAUGUCUAUCUGAUACCAAAAAGUUUGAUCAUUUUAAUUAUCUGGACUAUUCAAUUGCAAAGCCUUCAUUUAAGAAAAAGAAAUACAUAACACAUGAGUUUGUCCAGUGCCUGAUCUCUGAUCAGGAAGCAGAAGGGAAGGAAAUGAUAGGAAAGUUUACAAGGAACUCAAGUCAACAAAACUGUGAUUGUUGGAAUAAAUACUUGUUUUAAAUGACUGGAAUAUAAUUGAUUUGCCUUGUUAAACAUAUUUAAAAAUAAAUUCUAAGUAUUGCAUACUCAGAUGUACACUGAUCUAAUGUACAUUCAUAGCUUGCGUGGCAUUGUUCAAUAGAGAAAACUUCCUCAAAUAUUUUUCACAAUAGGGUUAGUGAUAAAUAAACUUCCAAAUUAUAUAGCAUGUAAGUUCUUUAUAUGACAGAGGAAAUUAAGAAUGUUUCUGUAUUUCUAAAGGCCCAGAAAGGAGAAGAUGAGGGGGAUGGAGAGAAGUGUUUUGAAUAGUGAAAGUAAGGGAGGUAGAAGCUUCCAUCCAACAAAGGAAGUUUUAACCUCACCUUAGAUUAAGGAGAAGACAGAGUGGCAGAGACUAGUGGCACAUCCCUGCACCCCAGAUAAAGGAACAGCUAUGGACUCUAAGGCCAAUAGGAAAGAUUAUUUAAGGGUCAUCUCAGAACCAGCUUAGAUCAGAAGUUUUGUUCUUUUUUUUUUUCCAGCUUAAUUGAAGUAUAAUUGACAAAUAAAAAUUAUAUACUCCAUGUACUGCAUAAAGAUGUUUUGGGCAAUGAUAGACUACACAUACAAUGGUGGUCUCAUAAGAUUUUCAUAUCAUAUUUUUAUCAUACCCUUUCUGUUAGAUAUGCUUAGAUGCACGAAUACUUACCAUUGUGUUACAAUUGCCUAUAACCUUCAGUAAAGUGAUAUGUUGUACAGGUUUAUAGCCUAGGAACAAUAGGUUAUACCAUAUAGUAUAGGUGUGUAGUAGACUAUACCAUCUGGGUUUGCGAAAGUACACAUGAUGAUGUUCACGCAAAGACAAAAUCAAAGACAUGUUUCAGAAGGCAUGUCUGUAGCUAAGUAAUGCAUGACUGUAUAUUUAAAGUAUACAAAGUGAUGUUUUGAUAUAUGUAUAUACUGUAAAAGGAUUACCACAAUCAAGCUAAUUAACAUACCCAUCACUUCAUAUAGUUACCUUUUAUGUAUGUGUGGUGAGAAUACUUAAGAUCUAUUAUCUUAGCAAAUUUCAAGUAUAUAAUACAUUGUUGUAUAUAUGAUGACUGUAUUCACUAUGCCGCAUAUUAGGUCUCAAAAAUUAUCACAUAUCUAGAAGUUUGUAUCCUUUGACCAACAUUUUUUCAUUUUUCCCACUUCCCCAACUCCUUGUAACCACCCUUCUACCCCAUUUCUAUGAGUUGGACUUUAAUUUCACAUAUAAGUGAGUUCAUACAGUAUUUGUCUUUCUCUGCCUGUUUUAUUUCAUGUAGCAUCACGUCCACCAGGUUCAUCUAUGUUGUUGCAAAGCUGGAAGAAUAGCAGUUUUCAAGAGCCAGAGGGCAGGGACUGCCAACUGACCACAGCUUUAUAGAGUAACAGGAGCGAUUUUUUAAAUGAAAGCCUCCAUCAAUUAAGAUUUCAGUCACCUCCAUAUUUAAAUCCUGGUAAGAAAAUAACCCAAAAUUACUCAAAGUGAAAUUCCUAUAUUUCACUGGUGAGAAUUCUGAGGUAUUAAAUCCGCUUUAAAGAGGGGAAAAAAAAAAAAAAAACUAUGAUGUCUCCUGCUUGUGAUUGUGGACUGAAAUUCAUACCUCCUACAUAUAUUUACAUAUAUAUCUACAUAUGUACUUUUCUGGAAAUAUGGUUAAAAGGUAGAUACAUAGAUAGAGAUCUUUAGCCUUGGGUAACAAAAAUGUAGGUCACUAUUAAUAGUAAAGAUUCUUCAGAAUAUAAAUGUAAAAAAUACUUCUGUUCCCGAAGUAUAUUUUUUGUCCUACUGUGAGUGCUGGUCAUAGCUAUUUCACUUUAGACAGAACAGAACUAUUUAUACUAUUUCUUUAGAAUUUAUUUUCAUACAGUUUAUUAUUUAUCUCCAACUCAACUAUCCCAAGGCAAUUUUAUUGCUCCAAGGGAGCCAUUAGUCUACCAAGGCUAUUAAAAAAUUAGAAUUCAAAUAUCAUACAAAAUCUGUAAAAAUAUGAUAAUUCUGUUAAUUGAUAUAUGCAACAUAUAUCAUAUGUCAAACAUAAUAUAGACAUAUUUUAAAAUUCUAAUUUGGAGAAACACUUAAAGGCAGGAAGCCUGUUUUGUUUAGGAUUACAUGCUCAACAGAGUAUCUUUCAUGAGUGAAUUAAUUCAAAAUUAUUCUAUGUUAAAAAAGAAUAAAUUACUUUCUACAUUUCCAGAAUGUUAAAAAUGCAAGGACUCAUUUUAUAAAAACAUUAGCAUUACUAGAUAUUUGCAACCCUUACUUUUUCACAUGUGCAUUGUUUGACAACCUGAGGCUUCUUUACACACCAAACAUUGGGACUUCCACAGGGCAACUCAGAAAGGAACAUUUAACUGUCCCAUGCAGGUAUUGUUUUUUCUGACCAACAAAACAGUUUGAUCCAUGUCACCAACUAUGGAAAUGGUGUCUUUGUAAUUAUUUAAGUGUUUAUGUUUUACCCUUAAAUUUUUAAAAAAAAAAAAAAAAGGGAAAAGAAAAGGAAAAACAAAGGUAGAGGCUAGAAAUAAAAUAGUGGGUUCCCUUAUCUUAAUACAGUAGAGACUAAGGUGAAAGUCAUUAGGCUUGCUGAAAGAGGCGAUUCUUUAGCCUUGAUUGAAUUCUAAUUGAAGUUAUGCUGGUUGACAGUAUUUGAUUUUGGAAUUAAAAGAACAAAUGAAAGCACAUGUAUUAAAAAUUGUUUCUAAAUUUAAGUAAAAAUUCUAUGUUUUAAUUCUGAGCAUGUAAAAAUUCUCUAAUAAUGUGCACGUCUGUUGCCUACUUGACUUUACUACAUGCUUUUUAGUCAUUGAGAAAGUCGAAGCUGCCAGUUUCUCAAAUUAUCUGCCUUAAUCUAGUACAUGUAGUGUCAACACUGUGGGCUUUGAAGUCAGGAAACACUUGGUUGCAAAUUCUGAUUCUUCUACUAAUGUGUUAUAUGUUGACCAUCCUCAAGAGUGUCUAUGUGUAAAGUUUGCAAGGAGUUGUGGGGAUUCAAGGAACGUUUUUAACUGCCUUGCAUCCUACUUAAAUGUGGGUUAAGACAGGUAUUGUCUUUGCACUGAAGGCUUACCUGUGUUUCAAUGUGAAUAGAAUCUCUUCCUUCUUUCUUUCUACCUAUCUAAAUGCGACCCAUUUUGAAGAUAUUCAGGAUCAUCCAUGUUCCUUUUGAAAUACAUCUCGGACUAAACAUACACAGACACAUAAAUCUUCUGUAUUUGUGUGUGUGUGUGUGUAUGUAUGUGUUUAUAUAUUGUAUCUCUUUUAAAUGUUCUCCUUGCCACUUCUACAACAAUGUCUAUACAUUCAUUCACAGAAUCAAAAUAAAAUCUUUUACUUAACUGUUAUCUUUGAAUAUUAUAUGUUUCUAUAACUUAUCUUACCAAAAAAACUAUUAGUUCUUUGAAGGUCAUGUGUGUGUCUUAGCCAAUGACUUGUCUUAGGCACAUUGGAUGACAAAGCCUAGCAUUAAACUUAGAAGUCAGAGACCAAAGUCAGCUCUUCAAGAUGCAAGGACUUCCUGAGGGAGGCAGAGGAAAGGUGUUCUCUGUAGACAUUUUUAUUCACCUAAUCAUGGUGAUUUGGCCAGACGUGCAUGUGGAUAAUUCCUUGAGUUUAUUAUUGAGGAGUCCUUGGAGUAUGCUUUCAUUUUGAGUACAGUUUCUCCCCAAAUAUAGAUACCAACCUGGAAAGAAGGGUUGACUAAUUCAUUGAGAAAAGUUACAGUUAAAGUAAUUUUCAAAACUCCUGAAUGUUUUGGCUUAUUUAUCCACCAGUCCAUGUUGAGAGGAGGCACAGCUAGGAUUCCAUUCUACCUGCCCAAAGCAGGGGACCUGGACAAGGAGGCAGGGACACGAGUUUAGAUCUGAUUCUGAGAUGACUCAGCCCCAACCUCAGCCUUGGCUUUUGUGGCAGUGCUUGAGUGACUCAUUUUUCUGGCACUGUCUUUGUUAACUCCUGGGAUCAAAAGUGUCCUGUUUACAUAGCCUCACAUAUGGCUACUCACUCUGCUUUGUUUUAAAAACACUGUCGGCUUCCAUCCUGCAACUGUUUGGUGCUGUUCACUGAUGAGGAAAAUGACUUGGUUAUGCUCCCCCUCCCACUCAAUUACUUACUCCUCUUCUUGCCAAACAGCUGACCUUUCUGCUCACCAUUUCCCCUAUUUGGUCAAGGUAAAGGUAUAUGUAUAUUUUCUUUUCAAAGAAUGUGUUAGAGCCUUGAUUGUUUACAUUGGUCCCUGUAGCAUGUUCUUAAUAUGUAUUUAUUUCCUAAGAUAUAGGAGUGGAUAUUAACAGAAUUCCCAAUUCUUGCAGUCUGAAGAGUGUCAUUAUUUUUUAAAGAAAUGUUUCCUAUUUUUCCAUUCAGACGCCAUACAAACUUCAGAACUCUAUCUACUAAAGUAAUAUUCACUCUGGGAAUGAGCUGGCAGCAUGGGGGGUCUCUAAGGACGGCACCAUUAAACCAUCUAGUCAAGGAAAUAAUUAAGAUCCCUCCCCCAGCCCUCUCCUCACACUGCUCUCCCCAAAGCAUUCUGAAUUUGCAGUUCCUUGCCCCCACACACACCCUAACGGAAUAAAAAUGACAAUCAGGAAAGUGCUCCAAGGCCCACCCACCUAGAGCAAACUACCUCUGAUCAUUGUAACUCACUCUCAUCCAACAUUGGUCUUUGGGGACUCUCUCCCUAUUGCAAAGUCAUUAUUCAGGCCCCCUGUUGCAGUGUUUCCAAGGUAAAGAAUAGCUUUCUCCCUGAUGCUUUGGACAAGCUGUCCUGAUUCAGCAGGAGAAAUCUGAAAAUCGUGAUGUUUUUGCACUUCCUAAUCCAUUAUUCAAAUCCAUAGACACUCCUAGCAUUUAGAGAGGAGCCUCCUCCCUGCACCCUCUGGAGAGAAUCACUCAUUCAAGUGACUGAUGUAAAAAAUCAAUCCCUUCACUCUUUUUAAAAGAUGUCAUUUAUUUCCCCUUUCUGGCUUCUUUUGUAUUCUGAUGAUUGCCAACUGCAAUUGGUUAAAGAUACAACUUAAAUAGCACCAUAUGUUUGUGGCUAUUGGAUACCCUGAUGUUCUAGAAUCCACGCCAUCACCUCGCUCACUGUUACCACCCCCAAUAGCCCUUUAAUUAAACUGCAAACUGUUACACUCUCUCAGAAUAAGAGAAUGCAAGUGUUAAUGACAGCCUGGUUUCAGCAUUAAAAUCUGAGGAAUAAAGCUGCAAAUGUGUGAUCACACAGCAACUCUAAACAACCCGUGUUGUAAAAGGAACAUAGAUUAUUUAUAAAAGUUAGGCUUCUGCUUAAUUAAUCUUCCCUAUAAAUAUGGCUCAUGGAGGAUAGUAAUCGUCAAGUACCAUGUCAUUGUAAGAAUAUUUAUACACAGGUAGCAUCACACUCACACAUACAAGCAGGCAGAUGCAUGCACAUGCACACACACACACACACACACACACAAACACAUACAUAUACCACACAUACAGAGCUUUGACAAUUGCUAGGAUGAUGUUUAGCAUACUUUCAAAGAGUUAAAAAAUAAAAAGAAUAGAGUGGAGAAAAUACAGUUACACUCUUAUCUAACCAUGGAAAAUACCACCUGCUAAUUAAUGUGAAACCACGGUGGGUUUCUUCAGUGUAAAUCUAGAGUGAAUCAUUUCUUUCUCUCUCCAGUCCAGUUCCAACAAUGGAGAAAGCUGUGAGAAGUUGCCUUAGAGCACACGUAGAAAAUAUCUCCCUGUUUAAGAACCUCAGGUUUUGUCUUGACCUUGUGUCUCUUCACACCAGCCUCAGUCCCUUUUCCCUGAUCACUCUUUAACUGGAAAAGAUUAUGCAUUUCUAAAGAAAUGAUGGAGGACCACAUGAUACCACCUUUUCAAUUCUCUCAUACUUUUUACCUGAUUAAUAUAUUUAUAUUUUUAUGAGAGUGAUCAGUUCUUGCUGGAGGAAGAGUGCUACCUUCUCAGCUAAUGAUGGUAUUUUCUUCUUAUCCUUUACUGUUACCAUCUUGUGUUAAAAUAAUUAAAUGUCUUGCUUUUGCUUCACUGACAAGCAUUUCUCCUAGCUGACUGGGCAGAGUAGAAGCCCUCCUUAAUUUUGGGAAAUUCCCGAAGGGAAAGAAAAGUUUAUAUGUAAUAUGUGUUUCCUGAGUACAAAGAAUUCAUUGGGUUGUUCUUCAUUUCACACGCAGGCUUUACUGAAAUGAAACAAUUGUAUUUUCUAGAAAGGAAAAUGUAGAUGAUAAGAAUUGAAUGCUAUAAUUACACUCAUUCCAUAAAGUAGUGCCCUUUGUGGUGAUCUAGAAACUCCUGAAAUGUGAAUGUACAGGUUGCCUGGUUAAAUUAAGAUGGAUAUUGUGAGAAUGUGUGAAGUGAGGCUGCAUAGGUGUAAAAACAGACACAAGGACAGUCUUGUGUAUUCUAACCCACUAUGCACCAUAGUCAGGUUUCUGUUGUGUUUGCCAAUAUCAGCUGAAUGUCAAUGUCAGCUUGCCUAAAUAGUUCUUGCUAAUAAGGGUUUGUGAAUGUAUCAUUUUUGUGACCAAUUUUUAAAAAUCAGACACUUGAAUUUAUUAUUUUUCCUUUACUUUUUAAAGUGUUCUAUCCACUUGACUAUCAUAAGGUCCAACCUCAACAUCCUGCAGAAUUUUAUCAUUUUCUAUUUUAAUAUCUUACCACACAAAUUCCUUAUAUGAUUGUAAACCUAAUUCUUCUUUAAUAAAGGCAAUUUAUGUUGACUGACGUAAUGAAAAAACACAAUCACACACUCUUCUCUGAUUUUGUUAUACUACCUUACUGGCUAAGAAAAUAAUAGAUAUGGGCACUCUAAAAUUACAUAGCUAAGUUCUUGUAUCUUUUUGUUAUUUCCUUCCUAGAAAUUUUGCAGAAGCUGACUCCCUUUCAUUGCUCCUGCAUUCUAGGCUUAUUUGGUUGCUUCUGGACUUAUUUCUUACAAGUCAUAUUUUCCAUGUGGAAGUUUCUUUUAUUUAAAUAAAAGAACACCAGAAUAGAAAAGACAAGGGCUUAGGGAAUUUGGUUGCAAAUAGAAGUUGAAAAAAUCUAAAGAAUCAUUUUAGAAAUGGUUAGGUAGCUAAGUUUGGCAAUAGUGCAGAAACAGGGAUUCUCAUUUCUUGUUAAUGAAAAUAAAUCUGUUAUAGUGUUUCUGAAGACAAAUGUGACAACCCACUAUUAGUAUACUGAACGUGCAUACCUCUUAUUUAGCAAUUUAUCCUGUACAAAUCAAUCCCAAAGGGAGAAGGAAGGUUUUUUACAAUUAUGUGGCUAUAAGGAUCUUACUGUAGUUUACUUCUUAUAAUAAUACAACAAUGAAAGUAAAUUUAAUGCCCAGUCAUAUAAAAUUUAUUAUUUAAAUUACAGCAGUCUCAUAUUAUGCAAUAUUAUGCAGCCUUGAAUAAUUAUUCCAUGAAAAAUAUGUGAUGUCAUGGAAAGAUAAACAUAGCAUAUCUUAUUAGAGAAUAACAGUUUACAAUGUAAUAUUAUUGUUCAAUCCAGUUUUGUAAAUAAAAAAGAUUACAUUUGCAUAAGUGAAAGCAU